rnacentral:ncRNA from 1 species
UUCAUAACGUUGAAGAGGAGAGUACAAAAGGGAAGUGCUUACAGAGAGAUUUCAUUUGGUGAGAGAAAUCGGCAUGGAAGUUUUGGAACAUGGCCUCGGAGUGUUCGCACCGAAGCUUCGGUUUAGGCUGCGACAGGUACGCCUGUUAUAGCGUCACGGGUAUGAUGGUACUCUGUAAGGUUAUUUUAGCGAUAAAAUAAUGAAAAAAGGUGGUAACACGAGCAUUUUGCUUUCGUCCUUUUG